AAGAGGAAGGAAAUAUCGGCACCGUCAUGUGUAUAAUAGACCUGACCGCACACGUGUGGGUUUUUGUACUUGUCAUAAGUUUUGCUUUUUUAUUUUUGUUUGCUUAAAAUGGUGUUUAAAUAAAAUAAAAGAAAGGAAGUCGAAUCUGUAAUAUAAAAGUGAAGUCAGGGGCAAAUGUAAUGGAUUUUGCUAAGAUCUUCUUGUCUGUCUUCUUCAAA